UCGCCGUGAAGAAGCUAUGGCGACCAGCCGCCGCCGCCGAGGCCGCCGCCGCCGCGCCGGAGCUGACGGCGGAGGUGCUGAAGGA
rnacentral:snoRNA from 1 species